UACGUAGGGGGCAAGCGUUGUCCGGAUUUACUGGGCGUAAAGAGCGUGUAGGCGGCCAAGCAGGUCCGUUGUGAAAACUGGAGGCUUAACCUCCAGACGUCGACGGAAACCGCGUGGCUAGAGUCCGGAAGAGGAGAGUGGAAUUCCUGGUGUAGCGGUGAAAUGCGCAGAUAUCAGGAAGAACACCAAUGGCGAAAGCAGCUUUCUGGGACGGUACUGACGCUGAGACGCGAAAGCGUGGGGAGCGAACAGG
rnacentral:rRNA from 1 species